rnacentral:rRNA from 1 species
CUAAGUCUCUGUUUAAAUGUCCAGGCUCAACCUGGAGGAAGGCAGGGAAACUGGCUAGCUUGAGCAUAGUAGAGGUAACUGGAAUUUCUAGUGUAGGAGUGAAAUCCGUAGAUAUUAGAAGGAACACCGAUGGCGUAGGCAGGUUACUGGGCUAUUGCUGACACUAAGGCACGAAAGCGUGGGGAGUGAACCGGAUUAGAUACCCGGGCAGUCCACGCCGUAAACGAUGGAUACUA